rnacentral:rRNA from 1 species
CCAGACUCCUACGGGAGGCAGCAGUGGGGAAUUUUGGACAAUGGGCGAAAGCCUGAUCCAGCAAUGCCGCGUGUGUGAAGAAGGCCUUCGGGUUGUAAAGCACUUUUGUCCGGAAAGAAAUGGCUCUGGUUAAUACCUGGGGUCGAUGACGGUACCGGAAGAAUAAGGACCGGCUAACUACGUGCCAGCAGCCGCGGUAAUACGUAGGGUCCAAGCGUUAAUCGGAAUUACUGGGCGUAAAGCGUGCGCAGGCGGUUGUGCAAGACCGAUGUGAAAUCCCCGAGCUUAACUUGGGAAUUGCAUUGGUGACUGCACGGCUAGAGUGUGUCAGAGGGGGGUAGAAUUCCACGUGUAGCAGUGAAAUGCGUAGAGAUGUGGAGGAAUACCGAUGGCGAAGGCAGCCCCCUGGGAUAACACUGACGCUCAUGCACGAAAGCGUGGGGAGCAAACAGGGUUAGAUACCCUGGUAGUCCACGCCCUAAACGAUGUCAACUAGUUGUUGGGGAUUCAUUUCCUUAGUAACGUAGCUAACGCGUGAAGUUGACCGCCUGGGGAGUACGGUCGCAAGAUUAAAACUCAAAGGAAUUGACGGGGGCCCGCACAAG